CUUAUUAUAUAUCAUUUUGUUCAGCAGAAACAAGGCUUGUAUUAUACAUCAAAUAUUUAUAUAUAUAACAUAAUUUAAUAUGAAUAACAAUCAAAUAUGUGUGAGAAAUUGAACAUUAAUAUCCAACUUCUGCGUGGCAUUUUAACUGAGAAUGUAAUUUCACUGUUAGCUUUUACUGCAAUAAAACUCACACCAUUCUAUGCUGUGUUGUUGCAUGAGUACAAUGGUGGCCCAUGUACAGGUUUCAUGGUGUUUUGGGAAGUUAAUCAAAUAAAGAGCUUGCCCAUUUCAGUAUUUUACACAUUAUUUGCCAGAUUGGUUAUGUUGCCUUUGAGACCAUAUGGCAGCCCAGGAAUGAAAAUUACCCCCAUCAUGGAAUACCAGUUGCAAAAGUUUACAACCAACUUAAAAAUGCCCCAGAUGCACAGGUUUUAUGGGAUUUUGGGAAGAUACAGGGUCAAAUAUUAUGACUUGUCUAUUUCAGUUUUUAGACAUUGAAUUUUGCCAGGUUGGUUUGCUGUGCCUAUGUUGCCUUGGAGACCAUAUGGCAGCCCAGAAUGAAAAUUACCCCCAUCAUGGAAUACUAUUGGCAAAGUCAACCAAUGCAUUCUAACAUCCCCACACUAUCUAUUAUCCAAUCAAUCAAUCAAUCAAUCAUAUCACUAUAGGGUCCAUCCACCACCAGAAUAACAUGCACAUGUUUUAUAGGGAUGCAUUUUGUGGGUCCCAUAAUAUUU